CAAGGUUGAGGUAGUAGAUUGAAUAGUUGUGGGGUUCAUGUCCUCCUUUUGAGAUAACUAUACAGUCUACUGUCUUUCCUUA
rfam:Oryzias latipes DNA, chromosome5, strain: Hd-rR.